AAUGAAUGAAUCGAUCAAUGAAGGUGAUAGGAAAGAAAAGAUUUUUCCGUGAAAAGUAAACGGUCGAUUAGACGCAGCUUGCCGCCUUGCCGGCCUGGUCUACUUCAAUCCGAAUUCUAGCCGCGAAUCCUGAUGGGUUAGCUAACCUUACUGGCUCUCCAUCUGCUUUGCCGGGAAAUAUGCGAGAUCGAUCGAUCCGACCAGUCGAGCUUAGCCAAUAACUUCAGCGCUUAUCAGCCUAAGCCUCAACCUGCUGCUGUUUGCUCCGAGGACACAUCAGCAGGGAUUUAGAGAAGAUGCCAUGAAGUUCAAGAGAGUAAAAGGACAUGUGAAAAAGGCGGAUCAGGAGAGCAAAAGGAUUAGGAGCCGCCGGAUGGACGGAAGAAGGACCAGAGAAUUCCAGCAACGCAACGACGAUCCGUUCUAAUCACCGGCCUGUAGCCAUCCAUCUUUCUUCCACUCAUGACGGGACAAGGUGCCCAGCCGGCCAUAUAAGCAAGAGAAAAGAUGAAAGGGCC